AAGUUUGAUCCUGGCUCAGGAUAAACGCUGGCGGCGUGCCUAAUACAUGCAAGUCGAUCGCGGAAUUCCAGCUUGCUGGAAUGAAGGAGAGGCGAACGGGUGAGUAAUACAUAAGCAACCUCCCACGAAGACUGGGAUAAUUCCUGGAAACGGGGACUAAUACCGGAUAGGUAGUGUGAUCCAUGAUCGCACUAUUAAAGGUUCAAGACACUGGUGGAUGGGCUUAUGGCGCAUUAGCUGGUGGUGAGGUAACGGCCCACCAAGGCGAUGAUGCGUAGCCGGCCUGAGAGGGUGAACGGCCCAUUGGGACUGAGACACGGCCCAGACUCCUACGGGAGGCAGCAGUAGGGAAUUUUCGGCAUGGGCGCAAGCCUGACCGAGCAACGCCGCGUGAGUGAAGACGGCCUUCGGGUUGUAAAGCCUGUUGUAAGGGAAGAAUUGGCGGGAGAGAAUCCUGCAGUGACGGUACCUUACCAGAAAGCACGGCUAACUACGUGCCAGCAGCCGCGGUAAUACGUAGGUGGCGAGCGUUAUCCGGAAUAUUGGGCGUAAAGGGUGCGUAGGCGGCCUGUUAAGUUUAAGGUUAAAGCGUGGGGCUCAACCCAUCACGCCUUAGAUACUGGCAGGCUAGAGUACUGGAGAGGGAAGUGGAAUUCCAUGUUAGCGGUAAAAUGCGUAGAUAUAUGGAGGAACACCAGAGGCGAAAGCGGCUUCCUAGACAAGACUGACGCUCAGGCACGAAAGCGUGGGGAGCAAAUAGGAUUAGAUACCCUAGUAGUCCCGCCGUAAACGAUGAAUGCUAGGUAUCGGGGCAACCCGGUGCCGCAACUAACGCGAUAAGAUUCCGCCUGUGAGUAUGCACGCAGUGUGAAACAUAAA
rnacentral:rRNA from 1 species